AUGGAGAAAUUAAGAUCCCGAAAAUUCUAUUAUUGUCGAUUCGGAUCAGAUCGGGUCGGGUCGGAUCAUUUUAAGGGAACGUCAUAACCGGAUCCUCCUAGUGUUCCAGCCGGAGCAAGCGCCUCAAAUCUCUACUGGCGAAGUCAUCAGACUUGAAAUCCUCUUGCUUUUUGUUGAAAAAGGAAGGCAACGGAAGAGCUCUAGGCGACGGUGAAUUUGAAAAAGCUGAACCGGCGUAGACAUCGGCCGAAGAUAACCCGACCUGGAUCUGCUUGCGCAACUUUUCGGGUUGACCCGGUCCGGUUCCAUAAACGGAGUUCAGCGAAUCCAAAGACUCGCCUCUCCUCAAUAUCGUUACCUGUCCCAUAACUACGCCACCGUUAGACUUACCGGCGUUGAGAGUCGGUCUCAAAUCAUCGGAACUCGCAGAUCUCCUCCUCAUCAAUGGCUCAGGUUGGUUUCUCACCUUCUUCUUCUCAGAUCUUUCCUUUUCCGUUCUAACCACCUGUUUCCGGUUCCCAUAAGAAGACCUAGAGCUAAUAUACUCAUUUCCG
rnacentral:misc_RNA from 1 species